CCUACGGGGGGCAGCAGUCGAGAAUCUUUCACAAUGGGGGCAACCCUGAUGGAGCGACGCCGCGUGGAGGAUAAGGUCUUCGGAUUGUAAACUCCUGUCAUGCGAGAACAAGGCGCCCAAGUUAAUAACUUGGUCGUUUGAUGGUACCGCAAGAGGAAGAGACGGCUAACUCUGUGCCAGCAGCCGCGGUAAUACAGAGGUCUCAAGCGUUGUUCGGAAUCACUGGGCGUAAAGGGUGCGUAGGCUGCGCCGUAAGUCAGAUGUGAAAGCUCAGGGCUCAACCCUGAAAUUGCAUCCGAUACUGCGGUGCUCGAGAACUGAAGAGGAGUCUAGAAUUUUCGGUGUAGCAGUGAAAUGCGUAGAUAUCGAAAGGAAUACCAAAGGCGAAGGCAGGACUCUGGGCAGUUUCUGACGCUGAUGCACGAAGGCCAGGGUAGCGAACGGGAUUAGAUACCCUAGUAGUC
rnacentral:rRNA from 1 species